rnacentral:rRNA from 1 species
GACGAACGCUGGCGGCGUGCUUAACACAUGCAAGUCGAACGAAGAGCGAUGGAAGCUUGCUUCUAUCAAUCUUAGUGGCGAACGGGUGAGUAACGCGUAAUCAACCUGCCCUUCAGAGGGGGACAACAGUUGGAAACGACUGCUAAUACCGCAUACGAUCUAACCUCGGCAUCGAGGAAAGAUGAAAGGUGGCCUCUAUGUAUAAGCUAUCACUGAAGGAGGGGAUUGCGUCUGAUUAGCUAGUUGGAGGGGUAACGGCCCACCAAGGCGAUGAUCAGUAGCCGGUCUGAGAGGAUGAACGGCCACAUUGGGACUGAGACACGGCCCAGACUCCUACGGGAGGCAGCAGUGGGGAAUCUUCCGCAAUGGACGAAAGUCUGACGGAGCAACGCCGCGUGAGUGAUGACGGCCUUCGGGUUGUAAAGCUCUGUUAAUCGGGACGAAAGGCCUUCUUGCGAAUAGUUAGAAGGAUAGACGGACCGGAAUAGAAGCCAC